GGGCCCGUAGCUUAGUCUGGUGGAGUGUCCGACUGAUAAUCGGAUGGUCCGGAGUUCAAAUCUCCGCGGGCCCA
rfam:Candidatus Woesearchaeota archaeon CG1_02_57_44 cg1_0.2_scaffold_3493_c, whole genome shotgun sequence.